rnacentral:rRNA from 3 species
GUAGUCAUAUGCUUGUCUCAAAGAUUAAGCCAUGCAUGUCUAAGUAUAAGCAAUUUAUACAGUGAAACUGCGAAUGGCUCAUUAAAUCAGUUAUCGUUUAUUUGAUAGUUCCUUUACUACAUGGUAUAACUGUGGUAAUUCUAGAGCUAAUACAUGCUUAAAAUCUCGACCCUUUGGAAGAGAUGUAUUUAUUAGAUAAAAAAUCAAUGUCUUCGGACUCUUUGAUGAUUCAUAAUAACUUUUCGAAUCGCAUGGCCUUGUGCUGGCGAUGGUUCAUUCAAAUUUCUGCCCUAUCAACUUUCGAUGGUAGGAUAGUGGCCUACCAUGGUUUCAACGGGUAACGGGGAAU